rnacentral:ncRNA from 1 species
UAUCUUUGCGCCCUCAAACGGAUAAACCGUUUAGUACAUAAAAAUCAUUUAAAGAAUAUUGGCAUG